rnacentral:rRNA from 1 species
UGUUACGGCCAUGCCACCCUGAACAGGCCCAAUCCCAUUUGAUCUUGGAAGCUAAGCAGGGUUGGGCUUGGUUAGUACUUGGAUGGGAGACCACCCUGCAAGACUGGGUGCUGUAGAUA